AUGUCGCUGAUCCAGGAUCUGCUGAAGGAGAUCCAGGACCUGAAGGAGUCCAGAGACGACCUGAAGAAAGAGGUCAAGAGCCUCCAGAACCAACUCAACCAGCUGAACAUGAGUGAGCUGGUUGACAGAAUCAACGAAGUGGAACAGUACUGCCACCGACUGGACAACCUGGACUCUGCCACCAAAGAGCUGCAGGACAGAGUUGGGCGUUACCCAGACCCAGACGAGCUCAUCCAGUGUGUAACCUGGGACAUCAUGCAGACCACCUUGGUUAGCGAGCAACAGAAUCUGCAAAAGGAAAUCAGGCACUCAGUCGCUGUCCCCACAUCAGUUGUCAUGACCACCAUGACUCCUUUCAGCACCUCUGCCAAUGCCAACACUGGAGCUGCUGCCUUCACUCAUGGCACUGUCACUGCCAGCCAGCAUAGGGGGGCACUGCCCCAGCAGUCCCUCUCUGAUGGAGCUGCUGCCUUCACUCCUGGCACUGUCACUGUCAGCCAGCAUGGGGGGGCACUGCCCCAGCAGUCCCUCUCUGAUGGAGCUGCUGCCUUCACUCCUGGCACUGUCACUGUCAGCCAGCAUGGGGGGGCACUGCCCCUGCAGUCCCUCUCUGAUGGAGCUGCUGCCUUCACUCCUGGAACUGUCACUGCCAGCCAGCAUGGGGGGGCACUGCCCCAGCAGUCCCUCUCUGAUGGAGCUGCUGCCUUCACUCCUGGAACUGUCACUGCCAGCCAGCAUGGGGGGGCACUGCCCCAGCAGUCCCUCUCUGAUGGAGCUCUGAUGGUGGGCAGCAAACCCCUGUCUCGUGUGGCCAGCGGGGCAGAGCGUUACCCAGAGACAGUGGAGGCCCUGAGGGACGUGGGCAGGCUCAGGGAGAGACACAACACCCUGGAGACCAGAGUAGAGCUGCUGGAAGCAGGCAAGGCCGACCAGGCCCAGCUCCAGCACCUCCGGGAGCUCCUCACUGACAUGGGUGACAGGGAUGUGCCAGACAAACUGUUGGAUGAACUGAAUCAUCUGAGAGUUCUGGUCGACAGCCUGAUGGGUGACAGAGCCAAGGUGAGCGAGGAAGAUGAACGCAGUGCAGAAAGUGGAGGAAGAGGUGCUACUGCUGAAGGCUGAGCAGAAGACCAAGAAAGACAGACAGCUACAGGAUCAGGUCAGACAGACAGACAGACAGACAGACAGACAGACAGACAGACAGACAGACAGACAGACAGACAGACAGACAGACAGACAGACAGACAGACAGACAGAC
rnacentral:lncRNA from 8 species